rnacentral:rRNA from 1 species
UACGUAGGGUGCAAGCGUUGUCCGGAUUUAUUGGGCGUAAAGAGCUCGUAGGCGGUCUGUCACGUCGGCUGUGAAAACCCGAGGCUCAACCUCGGGCCUGCAGUCGAUACGGGCAAACUAGAGUACUGCAGGGGAGACUGGAAUUCCUGGUGUAGCGGUGAAAUGCGCAGAUAUCAGGAGGAACACCGGUGGCGAAGGCGGGUCUCUGGGCAGUAACUGACGUGAGGAGCGAAAGCGUUGGGG